rnacentral:rRNA from 1 species
AACGAACGCUGGCGGCAGGCCUGACACAUGCAAGUCGAGCGCCCGGAUUUAUCCGGGAGCGGCGCACGGGUGAGUAACGCGUGGGAACAUGCCCUGAAGUACGGAACAACCUGGGGAAACCUUGGCUAAUACCGUAUACGCCCUGAGGGGGAAAGAUUUAUCGCUUUGGGAUUGGCCCGCGUUGGAUUAGCUGGUUGGUGUGGUAACGGCGCACCAAGGCGACGAUCCAUAACUGGUCUGAGAGGAUGACCAGUCACACUGGGACUGAGACACGGCCCAGACUCCUACGGGAGGCAGCAGUGGGGAGUAUUGGACAAUGGGCGAAAGCCUGAUCCAGCCAUGCCGCGUGAGUGAAGAAGGCCUUCGGGUUGUAAAGCUCUUUCAGCGGGGACGAUGAUGACGGUACCCGCAGAAGAAGCCCCGGCUAACUUCGUGCCAGCCGCCGCAGUAA